ensembl:misc_RNA 7SK 7SK RNA
GGGUGUAAGGGUAAUCUGGCUGUAAUCUGGCAGAUGUCACCCCAUUGAACAUCAGGGUUGAUUUAGCUGAUCUGACUGGCUAGGCAGGAGUCCCUUCCUCCCUCACCACUCCAUGUGUGUUCCUCCUAAAGCUGCUCACUCAGUUGAAGAGGACAACCCACCCCCACCCCCAAUAGAGGAGGACUGGUCUUUGUUCAAGAGUAGCUAUGUUCCCUUGCUAGAACCUCCAAACAAGCUCGCAUAAAAGGCAAUUUUACAGUAAAAACAAGAGGUUAAGAAAACUGAAGUAGCUGCAUAUUGAUGACUCACACUUAUUUCAGGGGAUCAU